rnacentral:rRNA from 1 species
GGGGAAUAUUGCACAAUGGGCGCAAGCCUGAUGCAGCAACGCCGCGUGAGGGAUGACGGCCUUCGGGUUGUAAACCUCUUUUAGCAGGGAAGAAGCGUAAGUGACGGUUCCUGCAGAAAAAGCACAGGCUAACUACGUGCCAGCAGCCGCGGUAAUACGUAGGGUGCAAGCGUUGUCCGGAAUUAUUGGGCGUAAAGAGCUCGUAGGCGGCUUGUCGCGUCUGCUGUGAAAACCCGGAGCUCAACUCCGGGCCUGCAGUGGGUACGGGCAGGCUAGAGUGCGGUAGGGGAGAUUGGAAUUCCUGGUGUAGCGGUGGAAUGCGCAGAUAUCAGGAGGAACACCGAUGGCGAAGGCAGAUCUCCGGGCCGCUACUGACGCUGAGGAGCGAAAGCAUGGGGAGCGAAC